rnacentral:rRNA from 1 species
CGCGUGGAGAACCUGCCGUAUACUGGGGGAUAACACUUAGAAAUAGGUGCUAAUACCGCAUAAGCGCACAGCUUCGCAUGAAGCAGUGUGGAAAACAAAAAGCUAAAGCUUUUGGUGGUAUACGAUGGAUCCGCGUCUGAUUAGCUAGUUGGCGGGGUAAAGGCCCACCAAGGCGACGAUCAGUAGCCGGCCUGAGAGGGUGAACGGCCACAUUGGGACUGAGACACGGCCCAAACUCCUACGGAAGGCAGCAG